UACGUAGGGACCAAGCGUUGUUCGGAUUUACUGGGCGUAAAGGGCGCGUAGGCGGCGUGGUAAGUCACUUGUGAAAUCUCUGAGCUUAACUCAGAACGGCCAAGUGAUACUGCUGUGCUCGAGUGUGGAAGGGGCAAUCGGAAUUCUUGGUGUAGCGGUGAAAUGCGUAGGAUAUCAAGAGGAACACCUGAGGUGAAGACGGGUUGCUGGGCUGACACGUGACGCUGGAGGCGCGAAAGCUAGGGUAGCAAACGGG
rnacentral:rRNA from 1 species